rnacentral:lncRNA from 1 species
UGACGACCCCCCACGCAGGCCCCAUAGGCCUCUGGCUUGUGUUACAGGCCACAGGGCGCAUGUAACAACAACAACCACCCCCCACCCUCCCCCGCCUCUGGCCUCUUGGCUGUGCAGCUACCCGGUUCCACACUACAGAGGCACAGGGGGACAUAAAGACCAUUGUCCUGAGUUGCAGAGGUCAAUAGCAGAGACAGGGCUUCCUUCAGGGUCCCUGAUGAAAGCUGAAGCCCACUGGAAAAGUGAAGAUACUCUCUGCAAUAUAGGCACACCAGACCACCGUACUUGUGUGUCUGGCCAUGCUGCUCCACAGCCAAACCCAGAGCAAGGGCUGCUUCUGCUUCUCUGCCUCGUCUUUGUUCAUGAUGACCAAGAUUUGGCAUCCCUUUGCCUAGCUGUGAGGAGAAAUUCAAGGAUGGCCCAAAUUGUUGAAGCCUCCAUCUCAAAUGUCAGACCACCUGGGAUAUGCAGCUGUCAUGCUGAAAGGGGAGCUGCCUGGGACCGGCCCUGGCCUGCUCAUCAAAAAGAUACUGUCACUACCCAGCAAGCAUUGCUAGGUGCACAGGGUGACGGCAAGAGAGAUGCACCUGGCUCUGGAUUUGAGGGAUGAAGAAAAAAUAAAGAACGUAGAUGGAACUAUGUAUAUCAUCAAAACAGACUUGCCUCUGCUGUGUUAUUCUCUCCAUCAACAUAUUUACAUCUUCCCUGUCAAUACUUGUGCAGAGAUCAAUAUAUCCUGAUUAUGAAUAAAUAAAAAUGUGUAAUAUUCCUUGUGCAAAUAAAUUCUGUAUCUUUCAUAUCAUUACCACUUUUUGAUAUAUGUUCUUUUACAUUGGUGCUACAUUUUCUAUUAUUAAACAAAUUUAGUUUGAGUAGUACCUGCCCUGUAAGAGAAAAUUUCUUCAUCAUAAUCAGGCUUGUUAGUUUCUUUCCUCUUCUCUUCUGCUUACUUACUUAUCUUCCUCAAUGUAUGUGCAUGUUUGUGGCUCUGGUCGUUUGGGAAAUAGUAAGAUCCUAUUAUGGAUAGUCAUUUUACUGUGAGAAGUAAAUAACAAUAAUUGAAAUCACCUACUAUUUAGUGUUUCCUUGCAAAUUCCUAUUGCAAGUUAAAUAA